rnacentral:rRNA from 1 species
ACUCCUACGGGAGGCAGCAGUGGGGAAUAUUGCACAAUGGGCGCAAGCCUGAUGCAGCCAUGCCGCGUGUGUGAAGAAGGCCUUCGGGUUGUAAAGCACUUUCAGUUGUGAGGAAGGUGGUGUCCGUUAAUAGCGGCAUCAUUUGACGUUAGUCAACAGAAGAAGCACCGGCUAACUCCGUGCCAGCAGCCGCGGUAAUACGGAGGGUGCGAGCGUUAAUCGGUAAUUACUGGGCGUAAAGCGCAUGCAGGUGGUUUGUUAAGUCAGAUGUGAAAGCCCGGGGGCUCAACCUCGGAACUGCAUUUGAAACUGGCAGACUAGAGUACUGUAGAGGGGGGUAGAAUUUCAGGUGUAGCGGUG